rnacentral:rRNA from 1 species
UGGCGGCGUGCCUAACACAUGCAAGUCGAGCGAUGAACCUUCGGGUGGAUAGCGGCGGACGGGUGAGUAACACGUGGGUAACCUGCCUCAAAGAGGGGGAUAGCCUCCCGAAAGGAGAUUAAUACCGCAUAACAUUAUUUUUUCGCAUGAAGAGAUAAUCAAAGGAGUAAUCCGCUUUGAGAUGGACCCGCGGCGCAUUAGCUAGUUGGUUAGGUAAUGGCUCACCAAGGCAACGAUGCGUAGCCGACCUGAGAGGGUGAUCGGCCACAUUGGAACUGAGAUACGGUCCAGACUCCUACGGGAGGCAGCAGUGGGGAAUAUUGCGCAAUGGGGGAAACCCUGACGCAAGCAACGCCGCGUGGGUGAAGAAGGCCUUCGGGUUGUAAAGCUCUGUCUUCUGGGACGAUAAUGACGGUACCAGAGGAGGAAGCCACGGCUAACUACGUGCCAGCAGCAGC